AGCUUCAAUUCAGCUUUACUCUAGUUUAGGGUUAAAGAAUUACAACUAAAACACCUUCUUUACAGCUGCUACGAGCUUCCCCAACUCAGCUGGCAGCAAGGAAGCAAAACACAAUCUCAAAUGCACUACUAUAGCAUCAAACUAGAGAGAAAGGUUGGCUAGUCACCUUGUACAGCUUCAACUCAGUUUCUACUGAGUUAAGGUUGAAGAAACAUAGUAAAACCUCACUUCCCACGCUUCCAUAGCUAGCCCCCAAGUCUUCAAACCAGUUAGCAACAAGAGAGGAAAAGAAACCAUGCUCAAAUCACUAGUUUUCAACUUCAAAAUGGAAAACCUAGAGAGAGAAAGAGAGAGAAAGGCUCACCCCUGUUCUCUGAGCUCCAACAUUGUCAAGCCCCGAGCCCCGCCUAUUUGGUCAGGUUCGGGCACGCCGACAGACCGCCGAAAGGACAGAGUCUCCCCUGUACGUCCUAGGCGUCGCAAUUAGUACAAUACAAGAGGUUCCAAAUAGGAACAGUAUUCAUACAAUGAUUGCAUAAGGAAGGUAUCGAACAACAUAACACAUCCUAUAUUAUUACAAGGAUUCCCAGUAGAUUCAUUUUUACAUCACACUUGCACUAUUACAUUUCAUUUUCAUUACAUUUCAUUUUCAUUACAUUUACUUUCAAAUACAAUCAAUGAUCGCAAGAUUAUUACAAGUUUGUUCUUUGUCCUUUCCCUCCACCUCUAGGCUAUGCCAACUCAGGGUACCACUAUCUCUGGUCUCUGGGGUAGGGCGCUAUCUAUGGAGCUACACCCUUUCCUCGCGCCGCCGCGCCGCUUACGUACAAACCUGUAACACCGCAAAAUAACGUGGGGUGAGAACCAACUCCAUAGUUCCCAGUGGGUACGGCCACCCAAGGGAAAAGCUCGACCAAUAAGUCCAAGGA
rnacentral:lncRNA from 1 species